GGAGUGAUAAGGAGUACCAGGUGAAUGGAAAGAGAGUCCUAGGAAGAAAGACUGCCUGGGGCGUGGUCGAAGUUGAGAAUCUGCAACACUGUGAAUUCGCUAAACUGAGAGAUUUUCUCAUCAGAUCACACCUGCAGGAUCUGAAGGAGGUGACUCAGAGUAUCCACUACGAGUCGUACCGGGCAAAGAGGCUCCAUGACAACGGGGGCCUGCCCCCCCCUGCCGUGGGCAGCAGCGAGGCAGAGAACUACGAGAGCAACCUGUGAACACAGCGGCCCCCGCAAGAGGAGGACCGACACUGCACCCCUGCCCCGCCUGCACUGACACCCCCCCCCCCCCCCCCCCCCCC